rnacentral:tRNA from 1 species
GGGAAUGGAUGGGGCCUGGUGGCCUCCGCAGUCUUCAAAAUUGUUGGGCGCGAUGACGAAUCGCGCUGGUGUGUUCGAUUCGCACCCACUCCCGCCA